rnacentral:lncRNA from 1 species
UUGUAACAGAGCAAGGACCAAACGGUAUCCAAGAUUAUUGCACCGCACUCCUGAUGCUAGAGAAGUAACAACCUCUCGGGUCAUGGGGGAGCUGAUCCAAGGACAGCCUUGAGAGAGUGAGAUGUUGUGGAGAUCAUCUGGAUAACAGAGCUGACUAAACACCUUUAAAAAGGCUUCUGGAAGGCAGGUGUCUUCUCUCUUAAGUUCCCUUAAAUAUCAAACUUGCUACCUGUGGAUCUGAAGACGUCUGCUUCUCGUCUCAUCUCUCCUUGCCCUUUGUGUGUGGGAGACAGUCUGUGAACCAAC